rnacentral:rRNA from 1 species
CACGUAGGGCGCAAGCGUUGUCCGGAAUUAUUGGGCGUAAAGAGCUCGUAGGCGGUCUGUUGCGUCCGCUGUGAAAACUCGGGGCUUAACCCCGAGCCUGCAGUGGAUACGGGCAGACUAGAGGUAGGUAGGGGAGAAUGGAAUUCCCGGUGUAGCGGUGAAAUGCGCAGAUAUCGGGAGGAACACCGGUGGCGAAGGCGGUGCUCUGGGCCUUACCUGACGCUGAGGAGCGAAAGCGUGGGGAGCGAACAGG